rnacentral:rRNA from 1 species
UACGGGAGGCAGCAGUGAGGAAUAUUGGUCAAUGGACGAGAGUCUGAACCAGCCAAGUAGCGUGAAGGAUGACUGCCCUAUGGGUUGUAAACUUCUUUUAUACGGGAAUAAAGUGAGGCACGUGUGCCUUUUUGUAUGUACCGUAUGAAUAAGGAUCGGCUAACUCCGUGCCAGCAGCCGCGGUAAUACGGAGGAUCCGAGCGUUAUCCGGAUUUAUUGGGUUUAAAGGGAGCGUAGGCGGACGCUUAAGUCAGUUGUGAAAGUUUGCGGCUCAACCGUAAAAUUGCAGUUGAUACUGGGUGUCUUGAGUACAGUAGAGGCAGGCGGAAUUCGUGGUGUAGCGGUGAAAUGCUUAGAUAUCACGAAGAACUCCGAUUGCGUAGGCAGCCUGCUGGACUGUAACUGACGCUGAUGCUCGAAAGUGUGGGUAUCAAACAGGAUUAGAUACCCUGGUAGUCCACACAGUAAACGAUGAAUACUCGCUGUUUGCGAUAUACAGUAAGCGGCCAAGCGAAAGAGGUAAGUAUUCCACCUGGGGAGUACGCCGGCAACGGUGCAAG